UGGAUGUGUACUUUCUGUAUAGCCAAUCAGGAUUGGCUACAGCAUCCUGAGCGGGGAAUGGACGCAGCCAUGUCACUCUCUGUUUCAUAUCACAUGUUGGAAUGUCAGUGUUUCCUCCUGUGUCUGCUCACCGCUGAGGAAAUGCGAGCACCUGCUUUAAACCCCAGCCCUGAUCCACAUCUGGACAGAGACAACCACAUCCGG